GGCUGGUCCCAUGGUAGUAGGUUAUCAGAACUUAUUAACAUUAGUGUCACUGAAGUUGGUAUACAACCCCCCACUGCUGAAAUUGACUGGCUUAAA
ensembl:Y_RNA Y_RNA Y RNA